rnacentral:rRNA from 1 species
GACGAACGCUGGCGGCGUGCUUAACACAUGCAAGUCGAACGUGAUUUUUGUGGAAAGCCCUUCGGGGACGGAAAUGAAAUGAAAGUGGCGAACGGGUGAGUAACACGUGAGCAACCUACCUUACACAGGGGGAUAGCCGUUGGAAACGACGAUUAAUACCGCAUGAGACCACAAAGCCACAUGGCUUAGGGGUAAAAGAUUUAUCGGUGUAAGAUGGGCUCGCGUCUGAUUAGCUAGUUGGAAGGGUAAAGGCCUACCAAGGCAACGAUCAGUAGCCGGUCUGAGAGGAUGAACGGCCACAUUGGAACUGAGACACGGUCCAGACUCCUACGGGAGGCAGCAGUGAGGAAUAUUGGUCAAUGGGCGUAAGCCUGAACCAGCCAAGUAGCGUGCAGGAUGACGGCCCUAUGGGUUGUAAACUGCUUUUAUGCGGGGAUAAAGUUGGGGACGUGUCCCUUUUUGCAGGUACCGCAUGAAUAAGGACCGGCUAAUUCCGUGCCAGCAGCCGCGGUAAUACGGAAGGUCCGGGCGUUAUCCGGAUUUAUUGGGUUUAAAGGGAGCGUAGGCAGUUUUUUAAGCGUGCUGUGAAAUGUACCGGCUCAACCGGUGAUGUGCAGCGCGAACUGGGAAUCUUGAGUACGCAGUAAGCAGGCGGAAUUCGUGGUGUAGCGGUGAAAUGCUUAGAUAUCACGAAGAACUCCGAUUGCGUAGGCAGCUUGCUGUAGCGUAACUGACGCUGAAGCUCGAAAGUGCGGGUAUCGAACAGG